AAGUACUCGGGCACAAUACUCCCCAAGUUUUACCCACCCCACGAGUCAUCUCGAAAAUUGUGUUAUACCCGGUGACAGAUCGGUAUAGCUUUGGUCUCCGGGUUACAUCGGAAAAAAAAAGAAAGAAAAGGAGUCAUCUUUUUCAAACUACAUCUCCUUCCAUUUAGCUUUCAACUGUUGUAAUUUUAAAAAAAAAAGGAAAAGAAAAGAACUCAUAGCCCCAUUUUCUUCAAACAAACCACACACGCCAGAGACUAAAUAUCAAACCAGCCGACGACCCCAAAGACCAACCGACGUCGACAGAUCCACGCCGGCCUUGUAAUCGUCGAAUUUCUUAGGGAUCCAGAUAAAUACAAAAAAUUAUAAGUAAGAGUAAUAGUAGUAGUAGUAUAUUUUUUAAGUUGGAUUGGAUUGGAUGAAAGUGGGAUUGAAAGAAUUAGCAAAGAGAUGAAGUGGUAUGCGGUGGCAUCUCUCCUCACACUUCUCACCAGCUCUCAGGGAAUAUUGACCACAUUGUCACAGAGGCCUGAUGGCGGUGGAUACAACUAUGAUUAUGCCACUAUUCCUUUUCUUGCCGAGCUCUUCAAGCUUAUUGUAUCUGGCAUCUUCCUUUGGCGAGAGUUUAACAACCAAUCAUCCCCUCAUCAUCCUCCCAGGAUCACUACCGAAUGGAAAACUGUUCGCUUAUACCCUAUCCCCUCUAUUAUAUACCUCUUCCACAAUAACAUUCAGUUUGCCACCCUCACCUAUGUUGAUGCUUCCACCUAUCAAAUUAUGGGAAAUCUCAAAAUCGUCACUACUGCUCUUUUAUUUAGGCUGUUUUUGAAGAGGAAGCUUUCCACUUUGCAGUGGAUGGCGAUUGUUCUAUUGGCUGUUGGGACAACUACUAGUCAGGUUAAAGGAUGUGGAGCGGCAUCUUGUGACUCUCUAUUCUCCUCACCGAUCCAGGGGUACAUGUUGGGCAUCUUGUCUGCUUGUCUUUCGGCCUUGGCUGGGGUUUAUACCGAGUUUUUAAUGAAGAAGAAUAAUGACACCUUAUAUUGGCAGAAUGUUCAACUCUACACGUUCGGUGCAAUUUUUAACAUGGGAAGGCUCUUUUUGGAUGAUUUUAGAGGAGGAUUUGAAAAUGGCCCAUGGUGGAACCGCCUUUUUAAUGGAUACACCGUCACAACAUGGCUGGUGGUAUUAAAUCUAGGCUCCACUGGUCUUCUGGUGUCAUGGUUAAUGAAGUAUGCUGACAACAUCGUAAAGGUGUACUCCACAUCGAUGGCUAUGUUGCUAACUAUGGUUUUAUCAGUGUUUCUCUUCACUUUUAAACCAACAUUGCAACUUGUUUUGGGUAUUAUCAUCUGCAUUAUGUCAUUACAUAUGUAUUUCGCACCUCCAAGCUCACUUGUAGACUUACCUAUGGCAGUAAAGGCAGAACCUCAAAGUAUUGAAGUUUCGGUAGACCGUAGAACAGAUUCUUGAUUCAUCUUUGUCAAAGAAACAAUAUUUGAGGGUGCUAUUCCACGUAAAUUGGUUGCAUGUUUCACUAAGCGGGGCAAGAAUAUGUUCAAGUUUAACUUUCCCUUUUUAAUAAAUGAUAAGGAAUUACUUGGAGUUGUUUGUCAUGAUAUCGUGGUGGAGAUCAAUGAAAUGUAUAUAUGGAUUCUACAAGACUAUGUAAACCGUGUUUGGGUUAGAGAAAAAGUUAAGUCUUCUGAGAAUUGGAUAGAAUUAGAUGGUUUGGGGAUAUUAGAUUAUCUUGAUAUGGGGAAUCUUGUGUUUUCUUGCCGUAGGUUCUCUAGGGAUACGGUGAAUGAGUUUUAUCUUGACAUGAAAACUAAAAGUUUCAAAUUUGUAAAUUUCAAUCUGGGUUAUCCGUUAACGCAUUUGAACACGGUGGAGUUUCAUGAAGUUAAGAGUUAUGUUGAAAGCAUUUUGCCUUUGAGAGGAGAUUGAGCCACGGAUCUCAUGAGGCAGUAGAAGUAGCUCCCUUGGGUAAUCGCUAUCUUAAAUGGAAGCUCUUUGAAAUGCAUUCAGUAGAUGUGUGGUGAUUCUCGGAAGAAAAAAAAAAGGUGAAACAAUGAUUCCGUAUUUGCUAACCACAUGGCACUGAAUAGGAUGCAUUAGCGAACUUGGUCCUUAUGCUGUCCAUUCUAGAGUUCCGUCUUGAUUAUUCACAUAUGAAGUACAUGAAACUCAACAAAAUUUCUUGUUCCUUCCACCAUGCUUUCGACUUGUUACUUGUAAUGUUCUUUUGGUUUAUUAUACAAGAAAAGGAAUGUUUACGUGUUGGAUUAGUCUGUUGUAGCCACGGCGGGUAAUUAUAUAUCGUUCCCUAGCUAAUCAUCCUUGGUCCAGGUCAUACAUUGGUGAGGCACUGGUAGUCUUUUGUUUAUCUUAAUUAGGCAUGCUUAAAUAACUUUCUUAGUUGUUUCCUCCGAUUGUUUUUUUUCUCUCUCUCUUUUUCUUCUAGUAUACCGUUGGUUACACAGGCAAUAGCAUCUAUUUAUCAUGAUAGCAAAAGACAAACUAAAGUUUUCGAGAUUUAGCUGAA